GGGGAAUCUGAAGGAAAAUGCUGAUUGGGGAGAGGGAUAAUUUGAGAUGAGUGUGGUGCCUUGGCUUAAUAUAUAAGACUCUCUUUAGGCUUUUGUGGCUUCCAAUGGAGCUGCAGCCCGAUUGGCUACGAUUUGCUCGUACAGGUCUCUGAUCUUCAAGCCGACUAUGGUUUGGAAGAGACCAGUUCCAUUGCUGCUGCCGGGAAAAUCGGA
rnacentral:misc_RNA from 1 species